UUCAAACAAAUAAUACAGUGAAGUUGAGUUCUCAUCUCUCUGGGUGGGGAAUUGCGUGUAUAAAUCUCCACAUCCAGCCUCAUUUCUUCCCCCCCCCCCCCCCAGUGAGAAGAGAAGUUACUCUUGGGCUUGAUUAUUUCAUAACAGAUAAAAAUGCUCUCAUUUACAGCUAAUAGCUGCAGACUAAAGAAAAUAUGAAUAUUAUUUUCAGUCAGAUAGCCAAGACAUGGGUAAGACCUUAUCCUAUCCUGACUUGGCAGCAAAGGUGUAGCCACUUUACUCUCUCCUUGUUUUCAUCAUCCUGUUGCUGAGGCAAGUGUGAAUCCUGUGCACUGGUUGCGGAGAGUUUUCUCUAGUGGUACCCAUACCCAUGAGGCGCCCCUGCCCAUCCCCAAGAGCCUAAUGCUUCAAAGGGAGGAUACACAGGUGAAGCUGCCCUGCCCCGCCUUCACGCCAAAAGCUGAUGGUGAACUCUGAUGCAUCAGGGAAGGAUUUGGUAAUGGACCCAACCAACAUAUCUCAAAGAAUAAUAGUUACAAGAAGUUUCAGGCCCAGGAUGUUGAACAGACACAGUUUGAUGGACAGCAGCCUGUUCUUGGGAUCUGGAGUGACCAUGAACCAAUCAUCCAGAAGAAACUGUCUGCAUUCCUCCCUCACCUCUUGGAACUAUGGGUACCUGUCUUGGACUCAGUCCCCUGAAGCUGUGACAUUAAACAUUUGUUGAGGGAACCCAUUUUGAUAAAGCUUGACAGGUUCUGAAUUCAAUCAAAAAUUCUCCACCCUGAGACCUGGGAAAAUACAAGAAAGAAAAUCACUCUAUCAGCACUGACAAUAAUUGGUGAGACAUUCGAAAUAUUGUAAACCAGACACAUCUAAGCGCUGUUUGUAAAGUGGAGUGGUGAUCCUGAGGUGAAAAUGCCCAUGGCAAGAAAAAGAAACUGGUUUCACAAUAUUUAAUUUUACCAGGAGGAUAUGACACCCUUUUAUGCAGCAAAAUGUAUGCAAGUUACUCUACAUUUACCUUUCAUGUGGCUGCUUUUAAAAAGGCAAUAUGUACAUACAUGUGUGUGUACAAACACUGCAGGAUGCCUUCAAAACAUCAUUGGUGACCUUUGAUUGGUGGCCCUGUUCAACUCUUCCAGUCAGCCAUUUCAUGUGAAUUCCCUUUGAUCAAGAAGGGAUCUAUCUGGUUCUUUCCGGCUGAUUUCUAGGGUGAUCAGAUAGCAAGUGUGAAAAAUCGGGAUGGGGGUGGUGUGUGUGGGGGGUAAUAGGCACCGAUAUAAGAAAAAGCCCCUAUAAAAUCGGGACAUCUGGUCACCCUACUGAUUUCCAGCCAGAGAGGAACAUAACAGCAAAAUGUUGACUUGGUCACUUCUAACAUUCCCGCCUUCUAGUUAGACAAAGAGAAAAAAUCUCAAAAACACAAUUUAGGAUAUCUGGGCAAGCCCCUCAAUAUACAGAAUAAAACAUGCUGUGUUGCUGAAGAAAACAACAACUGUCAUAUAAAUGCAAUGAGGCCUGAACGGUCAGACUCUGUUCCUGAGAGGAAGGAAGCACAGCAUGCCUAAAUUAGGCACGCCAGAUACCAAAGAAACAGAAUGACUCCUUUCUUCAAACAACUGCAAUUGUGAACCAGAGAGGAUAUGCUAGGUCCCAUCAGAUAGCCAUAUUAUUAUUAUCAUCAUCUAACUGAUAUAGUGGAGGCUAUUUUCAGAUCUAUCAAGCUCUGCAAGUCCAGAUUUAUUUUAUGUUCUUUCAGUGUGUGUGUGUGUGUGUGUGUGUGUGUGUGUGUGUGUGUGUGUGUGUGUGUGUAAUACAUUGACAGCUCUGAAGUUUGAAAUCCAUUGUUUAUCUACAGACAAGAGCAACAAGGGCAGCAGCUUUACAAACUUCUCCUUGUAGUUUUACCAAUGUCUCUCUUGACAUUAAGAGAUCACAGUUACAAGGAAAGGGUAACUCAGUUUCCAUUAAAGAUGAGCUCAAACCAAACCCCCAGCUUCAAACAUGUCACACUUUAAGGAAGUUCAAAUCUCUCUUCCACCUUAAUAGCUUGAUCCCAACUUUAACUUCUAAAUCUAUUCAAUCCUUAUCUUCUCUUCCUGACCUACAAGAUGAGAGCCAAAAUAGUGCUACAUGCUAGACACCUGUGUACUAUGAACUGGGCUGAGACCAUUAAUUCCACAAUAUGGUGAUCAGCUGAAUUAUUGUUACUCGUGUAUUGGGUAGGAUUUGAAAGCCUAUGUAUCUAAUUACCACCCCCAUCCACUAUAGUUUCCCUCCACUGCCUUUACAAAAAUAAGGUGUGCUUAUCUUACAGAGAUGUUAGACCAGGAGUCUGGGUGUUAAGUGACCUCAGUUUUUAUUCCUAGGUCUGCAUCUCAACUAUUUUUGCUCUAGAAAAGCCACUAACUCUUUCAGUCCACCCAGUUUCCUGUUCUGUAAAAUGGGGUUAAUAAUUCUUAUCUAUAUAGUAGAUACAUUGUGAGAUUCCAUUAAUGUUUCUAAUGUGCUUUGUGAGCCUGAGAAAAAAGGAGCUAUUGAAUAACUGAUAAUUAUUAUUUUAUUUUUCAAUAUGUAUAAAUAUCUAUACAAUUGUACAUUAUAUUGUCUUGGAGGAAAUACGAUUCCUGUUCUCUCAAGAGCAUGAUUAAUUUACCUGCAAGUCAUCUUGUUUCCAUUUAAGCAAAAAGUGAUUUAUUUUCCAAGUUUGCCAACUCACGCAGGUCAUGACACUAUUCAGUAACAAUUGCAUUUUUGGCCAAUUCCCAUUUUUGUAGUACAAUCCCUCUAGCAAUUGUCAUUGGUUUUAGGAUUUUUUUUGUGCACUUCAUUAAGAUCCCUACAGACUCCAAACAUUAGAAUUUUAGAAAACAAGCAGAGAUUGUUAUCCUUUGAUAACGUUCUAGUCUAUUGCCAUUAUCUUGUAAUUAAAAGUCACUGAUAAAAUGAUUGUUAACUAAUCAGAUUAUUGUAUUUUCAAACUCAUUUUAACAUAACCUUUAAUGAAGGGACCCUGCGAGCUAAAAGAAAAUUACAUUUCUUGUGUCAUGAAUGAAAUUCAGACACUCCAACUAUAUCAUUCUUGUCACUUAUUUGUUCAAGAAAAGGCAGAGAAUAAAAUUAUUAGUUUUCAAUAUCUCUGUUGCACAUAGAUUUUAAAAUUUCAAUACAAAAUUGGCAAAGGAAACAGAUCCUAUUUGAUAAAGUAAAUAUCAGAAACAUAUUUCUCCCAGAUAAUAUUCACUACCAGUUUAAGAUCAGUUUAGACUGAAUCUACCCUAAUAAUUCUCCUCUUUCCUUUUGUUGCAAAGGAGAUAAUGACCAGGAACGAGUAGCUGUUCAUAUUCUCACUAACACAUAAAAUGCAAGUCCUUGAAAAAAAAAUAGUUCCCAACUCCUGAUACAUGAUUACUCUUGCAUUUUAAAGAUGUGAAUCAAGGAUAGCAUUAUAUUGAACCUGUUCAAAAUAUUAACUCUCUGAAAAUAAUCAGCUGCUGAAUACUCUGGAAUAUCUAUGCCAAAGUAAGGUCACAGUUCAGAAAAAGAAUUCUAAGAGUACUUCAGGCAAUCUGUGAUUAAGUUUAGAUUUAGGCAUCCACUCAGGUAAUGCAGCCAUUUUUCACUCUUUUUGGAAGUACCUAGGGGUAUAUUGUAGCUCUCAGAGAAAAGAGCAAACAAAAAACAACCAGGAUUAUACAAUAGUUGUCAGAGUUCCAAAUUCUUUCAAUUUUUAUAGAUACAGUCAUGGUACAGGUUACUACCUCAGAACUCAAGAUUCUGUUCCUGGCUCUAACACAAACUUGCUAUAUUAUCAUUCACAGGCCAUUUACAAUUUUUUACUCUCCUAGAUCUCCACCUUCCCAUCCCAGUCUGGCAAAUGGAAUCAGAAACUGCCUUGGUCAAAGGUGUAUUUUGGCAAGGAAUGCAGAUAAUGAAAUUUCCUUUCACUCUUGAAAAAAAUAGCCCUGCACUGGUAAGCGGUACACAAAGAAAAUAUUCUCCAUCACCAGGUAUUUUUUAUCCACUAGUUUCAUGGCUAAUCAUUUCUAGUUUUCACAUGUCAAUUUGUGAAAUAUUUUCUAUUCCUUGGAAAACUGCUUCUCCUAUAAGCCAGUGCAAUCUUUUGUGAUGUCAUGUGAUUUUGCUGGUGAGACAGAUGGAGACACAGAAAUACAUACCAAAAAUGUCAGAAGGACACAUUUAAGUCUAUCUCAAAAACUUCUUAAAUCAAUUCAGUUGAGAGAACAUUCCAGCUAUCAAUGUGACUGAACCUUAAACAUUUGAAAGUAUUAGUGUUAAAAGAAGGCUGCAAAACAGCCCAAAUAUGGAGAUACUACCCCUUCUGCACAAUAUACCUCAUAGACUUUCUACCCUGAGUAAUCCAUGCUCCCAUACAGUGUAUGGUUCUUUCUCCCUCACAAAUGACUGGACCCUGGAGAUUUGAGUCUGCUAUAAUCUUUGAGCUAACAGACUUGGAGCUUCUAGUUGAAGCAAUAGAACCAGCAGUCCCAGGUUCAGCACCUAUUUCUAAUGUGCACUGCUGGGGUAUCAUUGGAACUGUUUCUACAGCUCCCCAAGGCACAGAUCUCUGCCAGUUAAAAUAAAGGAAGCUGCCAACUGUAGUAGGACAACAAGCUGUAACCAGGCAAUAGGGUGCAACAUGCUCACACAUGCACAUAUAGAUUCAGAGCCCAUUGAGAUCGACAAGAGUUGUUCCACUGACAUCCUUGGGUUUUAAAUCAGGCCCAUAGUGCCUGCUUCCUCUCCCACUGAAGUCAGUGGGGAAAGGAAAAAAAAUCAAUAGGACAGAGUUAGACCCAUUUUUUUUCUUCAAAUAUAGCUGGUGCAAUAAUUUUACUACAUGGAAGUGGUAACAAGCCUUUUUGGAGACUAAGUGAGACAAAAUCAUUUCAGACAAAAGUCAGAUUGGUCAAAUUCUUUAAUUGAUUUAUAAUUUUAAAACAGUUUGAAUUUUCCUCAAACUGUGCAAUACAGAUUAACCUUUGUGUUCAGAGUAAAUUGGUAAUUUUCAAGCCAACACAAUUUUUCAAAUCAAAGUGGCAGGGGGUCUCGCAACCUAAUUAUGGACAGGCUACCUCUUCUCCAUGGUACAUACAUGCACACACACUUACAGCUUUUCUACUCAGAAUCUCACUAGUUUAAUCAAAGGCUUGAAUUUUAGUUUAAAAGAAAGAGUGAUGUUUUGGUUUAACUUAAACCUGUCUCUGACUUCUGCUAAACCAAAAUAAACCCCUCAAACCGAUAUAGAUUUGUAGACUCUGAUUCCAAAUAGGACCAUCGUCAUCUAGUCUGACUUCCUGUAGAACGCAGGUAGAACUUCCUCAAAAUAAUAUCUAGAGCAUUUCAGACAAACAUCCUAUCUUGAUUUAAAAUUUGCCAGUGAUGGAGAAUCCACCUUGACACUUAGUAAAUUGUUCCAGUGGUUAAUUAUUCUCACAGUUAAAUACGUAUGCCUCAUUUUCAGUCCGAACUUGUCUAGUAUCAACUUCCAGCCCGUGGAUCAUGUUACACCUUUCUCUGCUAGAUUGAAGAGCCCAUUAUUAAGCAUCUGUCCCCAUGUAGAUAUGUAUAGACUAUAAUCAAAUCACCCCUUAACCUUCUCUUUGUUAAGCUAAAUAGAUUGAGCCUCUGGAGUCUAUCACUCUCUAAGGUAUGUUUUCUAAUCCUUUAACCGUACUUAAGGCUCCUUUCUGAACACUCUCCAAUUUAUCAACAUCCUUCUUGAAUUGUGGGCACCAGAACUGGAAACCCUAUUCAAGCUGUGGUUACCCAUUGCCCAAUACAGAGGUAAAAUAACCUCUCUACUCUCAAAAUUCCCAUUUAUGCAUCUCAGGAUC